ACCGGAUCCCAUCAGAACUCCGCAGUGAAGCGUGCUUGGGCGAGAGUAGUACUAGGAUGGGUGACCUCUUGGGAUGUCCUUGUGUUGCACCCC
rnacentral:rRNA from 1 species